GUUCUGCUGUGACUCUCCAUCUACAAGGAAGCUACAGUAACUCUUCCAUCAGUGAGCCCUCAAGUUGUGGGCCAGCUGCGGCUGCAUCAGACUCACCCGCACGAAGCUGGCAGGGAACCAUCCCUCCUCCUCAUCAAUCUGGCCCCACCACCAGUCCUUGUUGGAGGCAUCCAGCACCUUUAUGACAUCACCGGCCUUAAAUGCCAAUUCCCGGUCUGCCAUGGUCACAUGGUCCCAUACCGCCUCAGCGUUGACGAUUGACCCGCCACUUAUCAACUAGAAAAUAUGUCUCUUCAUCAGAAUGUUACAGCCCCAACAUAACCAUAUAUUCAAUUGUGGGCAGCCCAGCCAGUUCUACCCAAGUCAGUCAAGAGCUGCUUUGGCUCUAGGUAAGGAGUUUACAAAGGCUAAACAAUAGGAACUAU